rnacentral:tRNA from 1 species
GCCUCGGUAGCUCAGCGGACAGAGCGCCGGUCUACGAAACCGGAGGGCGCAGGUUCGAUCCCUGCCCGAGGCACCA